UACGAAGGGUGCUAGCGUUGUUCGGAAUCACUGGGCGUAAAGAGCGUGUAGGCGGUUUAUCAAGUCAGGGGUGAAAUCCCGGAGCUCAACUCCGGAAUUGCCUCUGAAACUGGUAGACUGGAGUGUCGGAGGGGAUAGCGGAAUUCCUAAUGUAGAGGUGAAAUUCGUAGAUAUUAGGAGGAACACCGGUGGCGAAGGCGGCUAUCUGGACGACAACUGACGCUGAGACGCGAAAGCGUGGGGAGCAAACAGG
rnacentral:misc_RNA from 1 species